AUGAAAAGUUGGUCAACAUACAAUUGGGUCAGAAACUACAUUUGUUUCAAAGAUGAUAAUAUCUAAUAUAAAAUCAAAUUCAUCCUCAUUUAAUUUCAUGUCAAAAUAGCAGUUUGACGACGACUAAAAAUUUUCUAAUUCAAACUGCUCAAAAUUUAGAAAAUCCUAAUUUCUCCCCUACAAAUAAGAGUCAAUCUUCGGCAAAGAAACACAACAAAAAACACCAUUUGCUUUCCCAUCUCAAAAAAACACAUUUCUCCUCCUUCUCUUUAGCUAUGAUGAGGAAAGGCUCAGACAAGAAACAUGGUGUUGUUAUCAAUACCGUCACACCGGCACUUGAGCAAUCAAAAAACAUGGUGACUCACGAAGAACUCAACAGGCAAAGGAUGGGUGAAAAAUAUUAAAGUUGAUUUUUUGGAUAGCAUAGAUUUUCUAUUAAAAUUUCUAGACUAUACUCUGUAAUUUCUUGAAUAAUCAUGUUGAAGAAAUAUCAAGAUAUUCAAGGAUGAAGGAGUUGACGGAAUAGCUGCAGAAGCUAAGGGAGGAGAACAAAAUCAUGGAGAUGAUAAUCAAGAUGAAUGAAGUGUUGAAGGGUGUAAAGAUAUAAUCGUUGAUAUGCACGCUGAUGAUAGUUAACACUCAAACAAUGGUAUAAAGAGAUAAAAGAGAGGGCUGACAAAUAGGGUUUGACAUCGGAUGCCCCUCAAUCCUUUGCCCUAUAUUGUAAUUUACUAAUGUUCUUAAUCAAUAACGAACUCCAUAUUAAAAAAUUAUAGGUUAAUUAAGGGCAAAAUACAUAGAUAGACCUUUGAAUUUUUUUAAUUUUAUCGCAUUGGCACCUCAAUUAGGCCAUGUAUCUAUUGAACACCUCAACUAUAUUCAAACUAUGUCAAUUGAGCACAAAUUGCGCAGUUUUAAAUUUGAUUCAGAGCGUGAAAUGCACUUUACCAUGACAUGAAAAUUAUAACCAAUGAUAAAAUUUCAAGUCAUCAAAGAAGAAAAAAAAUCAAAAUAAAAAUUAAGAAAAAAAAAAUAUUUUUUGCUUAUUCUUCUUUUUCCUCUAAACUUUUUCUUUCCAGCAUUGAAGCACCACUAACUAAUAGCAUAUACUCAAUUUCUUCUUUCUCUUUCUUCUUCCAUUAUCAUCUUACAUCCAUUCUAAUUUAAUUUUAUUUUUUGCUUCUUUUAAUUUUUCUCUCAUUUUUCAAACACAAUUGUUAGUGAGAAGAAAAAAGAAG